ensembl:snRNA U5 U5 spliceosomal RNA
AUGCUCUGGUUUCUCUUCAUAACGAAUAAAUCUUUCACCUUUUACUACAGAUUUCUGUGGAGAAGAACAAUUAUGAGUUUAUAACCAAAUUUUUUACAUCCUGCUUAAGCAGGGCU